CGCCCACAUGCGCCUGUCUCCACCUGGGCUGAGAAGGCAGCCGGUCACCUCGGUCCGCGUGCCCCAAGCACCGCCCCUCCACUCCGCGUGGUGGGCCCAGCCAACCAGGGUACAGGUGCAGAUGGAGCCCUGGUAUUCUCCACCGAAUUAGACAUUAAUCUUACCUGUUUUUGUGGUCCUGGGGAUCUAGCCAACAAGCCAUCCUGUAGACUGUAGACAUGCCCUCAGGAUCCUAACCAGCAGUCCAUUAAAGGUUGAUUGAGUUCCACCAUCAGUCAAGCCUUCUAACAACACAUUUGGAAGAGCAAAUGUGCUGCCCAGAGAAAUUCACUGUUUUGCACACUUUGAGAUAAGAGCACACCCCAGCCUUCAGAAAUGGCUCACUGAAUGAAGAUUGGGCAGGAAAAUAAUGGAAAUCUCAACCUGAGGUGGUUACAAAAUCAUGCAAACUGUUGUUGACAUCCACCUUGACUGUGCCUUUUGGUAAUUGGAAGGGGAUUUCAUAUCAAACGCUGCUACCUGCAUGAUGGACUGAGACGGACUGUGAUUGACUUGGAAGAGUUGUGCACAUUUCUGAGAAAAUGAUCUCAGAAUCAUUUACUUGGAUACUUCCUGGACUCCUGGGUUUGAUUCCACAAGAUGGUUUGCUGACUCUUUCAAUUGGAAUGACUGAAAUUUAUUUUAAACUUAACUAUUUGCUCAACACUGCUAUUAUAUUACUUUAAGCUGUUAUUAAUUUGCCUGAGAGCGACGUGUGGUUUCGACUGGGUUGUGCUGAUGUGGUUUGUCAUAUAGGAUGCUAAAUGUAGGACAGAAGCUUGGAAAGGAGAAAAAUGGUAAUUUUUUUUAAACAAGUCAGUUAAUAUUAUUGCGAAUAAAAAUCAUGUACCAUAUGCUGAUACUGUCUGGAUAAACAUUGUCCUUUUUUAUAUAUAUUAUGGGGUCAAAAAGGUGGAAAUAACAUAGAAAUAGAGGAAGCCAAUAUGAGAUUUAAAAUCUGAAAGAGAAUAAAGGAUAAAGGGCAAUCAUA